AAAAAAAAAAAAAAAAAAAAAAAAAAAAAAAUUUCCCUCUGCUUUCCUUUUUAUGUAUACCUUCCUACAGCACACGUCGUGUAACACAGGACGUUUGUGGAACCGGACACUUGCCACAGACAGUGUAUUGGCAGGUUUUAUGCGUGGUCCACCCGCUGGGACUUCUGAGUAGAAAUCCUAGCCCAAAACCCUGUAGUUCUUCCCUUUGCAGGGGCUCUGCAAGUAAGGACUAAGAAGCACAAGUGCUUUGCUUGUCCUGCUGGAGACAACCGUGUCUGGAACCUUGAUUCGGAAAAGCUUCUGGGCACGUACAACAAAUGGAUUCCUUUAACGGUUUGCGUUUUUCUGUGACUGCUGAGAAAUGAAUCCUGUGGUAAGACCCGUAGUGCUCUGUUUUGGUGGAUUCUAGAUUAAGUGGCUCCCACAAAUUGUUUAUUCCUUGGAAUUCUGUGAAAAGGAAACCUGCCAUCAUUUUUUCCAGCUAGUAACAGAUCUCAUUAGCGUAGUUUGUGAUUCACAUAAGCGGUAACUAUCUGGGGGGGGGGGGGGGGGGAUAGGUACCUGAACUUUGGAAGUUUUAAAAAUCUGCCACCAAAGGGACUUUGGAGCUCAUUCUGGGACUUCCUCAGGAUUUGGAACUUCUCUUGGUUACCUGCUUUGUUUCUUCACUCAGGGGAAGGUAACCAGAGACUCCAUGGAGGGACUGUGUGCGUCUCCUAGGGCUCCUGUAGGAAAGCACUACCAACUGAGUGGCCUUAAAUGACAGCAGUGGGUUCUGUCACCGUCCUGGAUGCUCUCAGUCUGACGCAAAUGUGUUGGCAGGGCCGUGCUCUCUGUGUGAGGAUGACGUAAGGGAGAAUCUGUUCUGUGCCUUCCUCUUAGUUCCUGGGGCUGCUGGCCACCCUCGGCGUCCCAAGCUCCGCCCCUGACAGCACAUGGCACCCACCCUGUGUGUGUCGCCAUGUCCAGAUUGCCCUCUUCCAGGCCCACUGGUCUUUGGAUUUACUGCCCGGUCUGGUGUGACCUCCUCUUCACUGAUCACAUCCAAGGGCCCUAUUUCCAAAUAAGUUCACAUUCACAGAAACCAGGGAUUAAGACUUCAACAUAUGUUUGGAGGGGAGGGAGCGGGGGGAGGCAGGACACAUACAGUUCUACCCACAACAGCACUUAGAGCACAAAAGGAUGAUGGCCACCUCUUUUCGUGGCUGUCGAUAUAGACCAAACCCUGCUGGAAAGAUAAUGUGUGUUGUAUUCAUUCCCUACUGUCCUUGACAUAGACAAAAAAAUCAAACUAUUCAGAAUAGCAUGGAGAUCGCCCAGAGGCCACUUGGAAAUGUUCUGUGGAUUACGCCUGGUCCUGCAGUGGAAUGGAAUAUAUUUCUUCAUAGCAACGAGAUGCUUUCAUAAUUAAGGCUGAUUACUAAAAUUUUAUUAGUUCAGCUGGGGGAACCCUGUUUCUCAGCAAAGUCCUAGAAGAAAUGAGGCUGAUUCAGCCAUUCCUUACCCUGAUGACUUCCUGGCUUGCUGUCUUCUGGCCUUGGAGUGGGCAGAGCAGGAAAGGGGCCUGGGAGAGCCGAAUGUCAUCGGAGCUGAAGGAAUGUGUGCGUUUGCUCAUGACCAUUCUGGGCUCUCACAGUUUCGAUGCACCCUCUGACAGUGUCAGCCCUGAGACUUCCUCCUGUCACCCCUUAUUCCCUCCCUCACACCCUCUAUUCCGGCCACGUCACCCAAAUGUGGGGGAGCCUCAUACACACCAGCCCUGCCUGCCUCUGCCCAGGGGCUUCUGCUUCUCCUGCUCUUGGCUGUUUUCUUCCCAUCUCAGCUUGAAUGUCAUCCCUCCUCUGACCCCCACGAUGUCCUCUCCUCCUCCACAGCACUCUACAGUUUGCAGCGGUAAGUUUGUGCGUGUAGAUUGUCAGCAGCUCUAUCAAUAGCCUGUCAGCACCAAGAACAUAGUAGCCACACAUUUUCUUCCCACCGUGUGUCUAAUUCUCAAAAUGAUUGGCAUGUAACCCGGUGGGCAUUUGUUGGAGAAACCAGUGAAAGAGUGAAUGGAUACUCAGCAGUUAAGAGUGACUCCUGACAGUGGGAAAUGCUCAUUUAUCACAGGUCAGUGGCCUUCAAUAAAUAAUAAAUCAAAGAACAGAGUCCUUUUCAUUUUUAGCAGAGGCAGCCUUGUAUGGAAAGAGGAAAGAAAAGAAUGUGUUCAGUUUAGAAUAGAGUGGUUCUCAACUGGGACCCUCAGGAGACAUUUGAGGUUGGCGUGACUGGGGGAGUAGGUAGUCCUCAUCCUGGUGGAUGAAGGUCAGGGACACUGCUGAGCAUCCUGGAACGUACAGACAGUCAUACAACAAAGAAUUCUCCAGCCCGAAAUGUCAGUAUUACCAAGGUUGAGACAUCCUGGUUUUGAAAAAGCUCAAGUGACAAAACAUUAGAGGCAGAAAGACAAGCCGGCAGAGGGAGCGCUCUCACGUGGUCCUGUUUUCGGAAGAGACACGGAGAUGGUUACGGGAAAGUGACCAGUUGGCUUACCUGGAGUCCGGAAGACUGUGCUUGUUAAUCACAGUGUACGAGGGUUGUCUCCACAGUAGCUUUUAGACUUGUCUUGGCAAAACAGAUUGAAAAGCACUUUCUGAGGAUUUGUUACUUUUCCACCAGAGUGUCAGAGAACCAAAGCCCCCUCAUCCAUCCGAAGCUCACUGGGAGAGUGAGCACAGGUGAGGGAGAAAGUUCGUCAGAUGAGAUCUAAAGUACCCAGGUGAUUAGCUUCGAGGCACAAAAACUCAGUCUGACGUCAACAAGCAUGACAUUUCCUGGGAAGAAGAGAACAGAAGGAAGCAAUUACUCAUCACCUCCAUCAGUCCCCAUGGGUAGGAAUAUGCUAGAGUUUCAGCCUCCUGAAGUCUCAGUGGCUCUGGGCCACCCAGGGGUGUUUUCCACUCAUGCCACGUGUGUGUCCUGCUGUCCCAGAGCCCAGAUGGGCACGGGUUCCACUACAAAGAAACGCAGCCAUGAAGGGAUGGCGAGUUGCCAGACCAGGCCUUGCACACCCUUGUCCAGAACUGACCCACGCGUUUCUGCUCAUGCCAUUGGCUAAAGCAAAUCACGGGACCACAGUGGGCCCCAGGGGGUGGAAGUGCCCAGAAGGAGGGGCAGACGUGCAGCACCUCCCCCUUUGAAGUAGACAUGUGAGUCGGGCUUCUAACGGGGGGCUCUCAAGGCACGUGGAUAUUACCCCAGUAGGUGUAUGUUCUAGAAAAGGUGAUAUACACACAAGUCCCCCAGCUAGUACAGCUCUCCACAGCUGGACAUGUGAAAAUGGAGAUAUCUCACAGAACCUGGUGUUGGGCUUUGAUUGCCAUUUCUCCAUAGUUGAAUUUCCUUCUUCCGUCAGGGCAGGGCUGGGCAUGGCAUGCACAGCAGGAGAAAGUGAGCUCCUGUUCUGUGUGCCUAGGACCCUGGAAACUGCCCAGCCAGGGAGGGAGGGAGGUAGGAGGUCACAGAAGGGAUCAGAGUUGGGCACUUUGUGCCAGAUCACUUUCAUUUGGACAUGGGUGUCCCUGCCGGGUGGAGGUCUGUGCAGGACUUGAGAAAAAGAAUGUCCUCUGUGCCUUUUCGGAAUACAGUGGAGUAAGACAAGUGGCUGUGCUCAUUGCUGCAGAUCACCAGAGCUGAUUUUGGGAGAGCCUCAAUGUACACGUUUCCAUACCCCAUUCCCAGAUUGCAGUCACCUUGGGGGGAGCCUAUCUCGCAGUGGCUCUUGGGUGAUGGAUGGCGAGUAUUCUAGGCAAUGGGAAUUUGAGAAGGGCCUCAGUUGAUGCAGGGGACCCCUGAGCAGGUGCACAGGGGAAGCUGGCACUCAGGCAGUGGGUGGGACUGUAACCUGAGCAUUCUGAUCCUAGAGUCACAAGGGACAUGUGGUCAUUGGUGCCUGAACAUAGUCAUUGGCAUCUGAAGUGUGGCCAGUCCAAACCAAGAUGGGCUGUCAGCAUAUAAUACAUGCAGGAUUUUUAGGACUUAGUGUAAAGUAAAGAACAUUGUUGAGAGCUGAGUUGUUUGUGCCAGAAAUUCACAUGGUCAGGUCCUAAUCUCUAGGACCUCAGGAUGUGACUGCCUUUCGACCUCCGUCCAUGAAAGAGUUGAUAAAGUAAAGUGAGGUCACUGGGAUGGGCCCUGAUCCAAUCAGACCUGUGCACUUCUAAGAAGAGAUUAGGACACAGACACACAGUAAGGACCCUGUGAGGGCAGAGUGAGAAGAGGUGCCUGUACACGCCAAGGACAGAGGCCUCCAAAGAAACCGUCCAGCCUGGGGCUUGGUCUUGGACGUGCAGCCUCCAGAACUCUGAGGCGAUAAGUGAAGGGCGGGUACCCAGUCCAUGUACGUACUUGCAGCCACUAGAGCGACUCAUGCCAACAUCAAAUAUCCCACUAAUUUCUGUGUUCUGAUUACAUGCCAGAAUGGUAAUGUUGUAGGUAAAUUUUACUAAAAUGAAUUCCAUUUUUUAAAAUGUGGCUACUAGUAAUUUGAAGUGACAUACUUCUCGUGCAUCAUGUUUCUAUUGGACGGUGCUGAUCUGAGCCAAAGACUCUGUUACUGAGUGUCUAGACCCUGGUCCUGCUGGCACGUCCAUCCACGUGCUGGUGUGAAGGGAGGGUUUGCCCUUCACCCUCCGGGGCCGUCUCAGGCAGCUGGGACUGCUUCUGUGCCUGUUGGCACUCGUGCUGAGUGGAUAUUUGAAAAACUAGACAGUAACUAAGAGAAUUAGAACAUGGGGACCAAAGCCAGGAAAUAAUAGAACUUAUGUCAGUACGGAAAGGGAAAGCAUGACAACAAGCAUCAAUAUUAGAUUUUUUUUCCUGUGACCCAAUGUCUUUUCUACAAUUUGGGGGGGAAAAAAAACCUGUCAGGAGUGUGGGAGUUAUUCACGUCAGGAAAUUUGAGGGGACGCGUGAGUCAGGGACUCCUUUAGGGCAGAGGAUUCUUGGAAGGGAAAACACGGGGCAAAUGUUAGGCAAGGAAAGAGGCAGAAACAGAGCUGUGAAUGAAGACGAACCAUGAGAAACCAAGAAAAACCAACGUAGCUUUGUUGGAGCAGGUGCAGCUUUCUGUGCUUAUUUUAUCUUAUUUUAUUUUUAAAAUGUAGCAUCAUGCCCCUCAGGUAUGCUGUUCUCUUUCCUGCUUUGGCCAAAAUCAGUUAUACUCCCAAGCUCUGAAGGAUAAGUCACGUUCUCUCAGUGUGAUUUGCGUAUUUAAGUGCCUUUGGGAAUGACAGCCCCUGACAGACGCCCUCUGAUACCUGCACUGGCUGGGCCGGGAUCCUACCUGAGGCCCUGCUGAGCAGUUCCAGUCUUUGGACGGAGAAGGUCUUUCUAGAGCCAGCUCAUCCACCGUCCUCUUUUCACGAGCUCUCUCUUUCCGGCAUCUGGUCCCAUGGGCCUGCCCCCAUCUCCCUGCCACUCUUCCCCGGGGGCUACCACACUUCAUGAGACAUAAAGUAAAGUGUGUGGCCACAGUAUCUAGCAUGGCUUGAAGCACUUCAAAGAUCCCCAUGCCCCUGGGUACCCCCACCUCCUCCUUCAAUCCUCUCUCUACCCACAACAUCUGGCCUUUGUCGAGAAAAGGCCAGAUUUUCUUUGAUUCCCAACCGCCUGGACUUGCCAUGGUCUUCCCUGGGUGUGGAAGGUCCCCUUAUCGCCUGCUGUCGCGUUCCCACGCUCUCUCCAUCUUGGGCCCUCCCUGCCCCCACUGUCCAUGAAGAUAUCAUCCUAGGCACUCAUUGCCCUGGCCUUAGAACUAUUUCUGUGUCUCCUGUCUCUCCACUCUUUGAAUAUCUCACCCUUUUCAGCCCCCUGAGCACUCCGAGGAUCUUGGUAAAAUGCAGACUGCGAUUCAGUAGGUCUUGGGUGGGGCCCGAGGCUGCGUAUUUCUAAGCAACUCCUGGUAAUGACAAGGGAGCGGGUCCAGGGACCACCUCAGUCACCAGGCCCUGCUUUGGCUGAAGCUCCUUGAGCUUCUGUGUCCCUCUCAGAGAGACCAGUGCUGCAUAGGAACUGGACACUCGGGGGAAAAAUGUUUUUCGUAAACUUUACUUUUGAGAGCAGUUUUGGGUUUACAACAGAAUUGAAUGGGAAGUGUAGGGAGUUUCCUUCCCCCUUCCCCACCCUGCCCUGACACAGGCACAGCUCCCCCACCAUCAGCGCUGCCGUUCUGGUUCGUCUUUUGCUGAGGGGAGCACAUUCUGGCCGGCACUUGAGCAAAAGACUUGGAAAGGGCACCGUCACUCAGACAUGCCACAAAGUGCCUUCUGUUAGGCAUGUUUGUCUCCUCUGUGUGGUCUUGCUUCCUGGCCCAGACUCUGAGUCCCUGAGAGAUCUAAGGGGGCAGAUCCCUGAGCUCACUUCUACAGUGUGUGAGCUCUGGGGGGGCUGGGGAAGCGUUCCCCAGGCUCCUUUCCUGAGGCUGAUGCUUGCUCUACUUCAGUACCAUGUUCACUGCAGAGCCUACAGAUCAGACAAAGACAAUCUUGCAAAACCUGAGCGGGCUUUUCCUUCCUGAAUUCUGUACAUCUUCUAGAAACGACAGUUCUCGGUCAGGAUGGCUGCGGGGGCUCAUCAGUGAGUGAGCAGGACCGUCACACUGGGAGGGUGUCCGGGGUGGGCCACGACCUCUGAUUUCAUUGCUGACCCAGGUUCUAUCCCCAACGCCAUGAUAUGCGUGCCGUGAUCUGCGUGAUCGCGUGAUGCAGGAUCAUUGAAAUCACAAGAAUUUGGUGUGAUCUCACAUUUAUUUCAUCUUAAGGGGAAAACAUUACAGCUCUGAUUUUAAAACCUAUAUCUGGGUAAGGGGAUCUCACGGCACGGUUGCAUUUAAAGGCUGGGGAUCACGAAAUUCUAAAAUGGAAACUCAACAGGGCCUCAGUCUGGCAAAAGUAUGACUCAGUUAAAGCUUCAUCGAUACAGGCUGUCACCAUGUGGCUGGGUCCUUGUGUCAUUAAGAAAGUCUUCAUUAUGUCCUUAAUGUAUGGAAACUAGGCAUUCCAGAGCUCAUUUGCACUGUUAAAUUUAUUCAUCUUCCCAAGGGACACAGGGACAGAAUCCAAGGCAGGGACGUCCCUCGAACACCUUGGCGGGAAGUGAAGGAGCGGGUACCCGUGGAAGGCGUCCCAGGGGCUGCGGGGAUGGCGGAGGACAAGGGACCAGCCUUGGAGUAUAUUAAAAGUUUCCUCUGCCUUUGUGCUCUGAACGCUGUAAAACUGAAUGGAUUUUCUUCUGCUUAAUACCGGACACUCCGGCUUUUGAAUUCUGUCCUGUUAUCUUUCCGUGUUUCUUCCACAUGAAGUCAUUCUUCUAUUUUUGCCUUUCUAUCGUUUUAAAAAGUUUUGAAUGUCUUUCAGCCAAGCUCUUGGGCUUUUCAUCUUUUUCUCUCUCUCCAUAAAACGUCAUUUCCAUCUGUUGCCCCUUUCAUUCUUUUACGGUUCUUCCUUCCUGGGCUAAUAACCACUCCUAGCUCCUUCUCCAUUCUGCUCUUACCACCCGUUUGAGCGUCCCCCUUAAAGCCUGCUGUCGGGUUUCAUCCUGGCAGAGGGCAUUCUUUCCCGAGCACCUUCUGCAUUGUCUGCCUUAUUGUGUUUGGUUGAGGCCUAGUAAUUUUCAAUAAAGCCCUUAAUCCAAGUGCUUCGCUGAAAAUUACCAGGCUUUUCU